rnacentral:rRNA from 2 species
GGUUAAGCGACUAAGCGUACACGGUGGAUGCCCUGGCAGUCAGAGGCGAUGAAGGACGUGCUAAUCUGCGAAAAGCGUCGGUAAGGUGAUAUGAACCGUUACAGCCGGCGAUGUCCGAAUGGGGAAACCCAGUGCAAUUCGUUGCACUAUCGUUAACUGAAUACAUAGGUUAACGAGGCGAACCGGGGGAACUGAAACAUCUAAGUACCCCGAGGAAAAGAAAUCAACCGAGAUUCCCCCAGUAGCGGCGAGCGAACGGGGAGCAGCCCAGAGUCUGAAUCAGCUUGUGUGUUAGUGGAACGGUCUGGAAAGUCCGACGGUACAGGGUGAUAGUCCCGUACACCAAAAUGCACAGGUUGUGAACUCGAAGAGUAGGGCGGGACACGUGGUAUCCUGUCUGAAUAUGGGGGGACCAUCCUCCAAGGCUAAAUACUCCUGACUGACCGAUAGUGAACCAGUACCGUGAGGGAAAGGCGAAAAGAACCCCGGCGAGGGGAGUGAAAAAGAACCUGAAACCGUGUACGUACAAGCAGUGGGAGCACCUUCGGGUGUGACUGCGUACCUUUUGUAUAAUGGGUCAGCGACUUAUAUUCUGUAGCAAGGUUAACCGUAUAGGGGAGCCGCAGGGAAACCGAGUCUUAACUGGGCGUUAAGUUGCAGGGUAUAGACCCGAAACCCGGUGAUCUAGCCAUGGGCAGGUUGAAGGUUGGGUAACACUAACUGGAGGACCGAACCGACUAAUGUUGAAAAAUUAGCGGAUGACUUGUGGCUGGGGGUGAAAGGCCAAUCAAACCGGGAGAUAGCUGGUUCUCCCCGAAAGCUAUUUAGGUAGCGCCUCGUGAACUCAUCUUCGGGGGUAGAGCACUGUUUCGGCUAGGGGGUCAUCCCGACUUACCAACCCGAUGCAAACUACGAAUACCGAAGAAUGUUAUCACGGGAGACACACGGCGGGUGCUAACGUCCGUCGUGAAGAGGGAAACAACCCAGACCGCCAGCUAAGGUCCCAAAGUCAUGGUUAAGUGGGAAACGAUGUGGGAAGGCACAGACAGCCAGGAUGUUGGCUUAGAAGCAGCCAUCAUUUAAAGAAAGCGUAAUAGCUCACUGGUCGAGUCGGCCUGCGCGGAAGAUGUAACGGGGCUAAACCAUGCACCGAAGCUGCGGCAGCGACACUAUGUGUUGUUGGGUAGGGGAGCGUUCUGUAAGCCUGCGAAGGUGUGCUGUGAGGCAUGCUGGAGGUAUCAGAAGUGCGAAUGCUGACAUAAGUAACGAUAAAGCGGGUGAAAAGCCCGCUCGCCGGAAGACCAAGGGUUCCUGUCCAACGUUAAUCGGGGCAGGGUGAGUCGACCCCUAAGGCGAGGCCGAAAGGCGUAGUCGAUGGGAAACAGGUUAAUAUUCCUGUACUUGGUGUUACUGCGAAGGGGGGACGGAGAAGGCUAUGUUAGCCGGGCGACGGUUGUCCCGGUUUAAGCAUGUAGGCUGGUUAUCCAGGCAAAUCCGGAUAAUCAAGGCUGAGGUGUGAUGACGAGGCACUACGGUGCUGAAGUAACAAAUGCCCUGCUUCCAGGAAAAGCCUCUAAGCAUCAGGUAACAUCAAAUCGUACCCCAAACCGACACAGGUGGUCAGGUAG